rnacentral:rRNA from 1 species
UACAGAGGGGGCAAGCGUUGUUCGGAAUUACUGGGCGUAAAGGGCGCGUAGGCGGCCUUCUAAGUCGAACGUGAAAUCCCUCGGCUUAACCGGGGAACUGCGUCUGAUACUGGAUGGCUUGAGUUUGGGAGAGGGAUGCGGAAUUCCAGGUGUAGCGGUGAAAUGCGUAGAUAUCUGGAGGAACACCGGUGGCGAAGGCGGCAUCCUGGACCAACACUGACACUGAGGAGCGAAAGCCAGGGGAGCAAACGGG